UAACCUCCCUAAAACACCAGCUCAGUUAAAUUUCCUUUCAGAAAAAGUGCUAUACUUGAACGGAGAAAAUUUUCUGGUAAAAAAGUUGAAAAAAAUAAAAAAUAAACAUCAUUAUAAAACCAAUACAUUCCUCGCUCUGCUCAGAAUCUAGAAUAAUAAGACAAUGGAGGUUCAGCCUUCAAUAUAUCCCUGUGUACAUAUCCUUAGUAUACAGACCUAUUAGAUUAUUUUUUGUUUUGCUGUACACAAAUGUUCUGUACAUUAUAUAGUUUGUUCGUACGACAAAAAUGCAGUUGUAAAAUAAAACAUUUUUUUAACUUACCUAACCUAUCACCUUAAUGUAGUUACUAAAUUUACAUUUUCUAUAUAUAUUUCGUAAUAUACAAUCUUAUAAACAAUUAUUUUAUUUAACUUUUUUUUUUUACAUUUACGUCAUACUAUUUCCCAGUUAAACAAUAUAAUAGUAUUCCCGCAUAUAUACGUACUGUUGCGGACAACGGUUAUUUAGAUUUCUCUGUACAAUCGAUUUUAGACGAAACAAUCUAGUAAAAUUAUUUUUGUUAAUAAUGAAAGCGUACGUACGUCAUUUGACUUGUAUAAAUACGCGAUAAGAACGGUUUAAAA